CAGAGUGGCAGGUGUUUAUUGAUGACAUGAUGUCUUCAUUAGAGGUGUAACAAUAAGGCUAUGGAUCUUGGCAUUCCUGCUGCCUGCUUUACAGGAUCAGAAAAUCUACAGAAUCCCCCAAUUUACAAAGGACUUCUUAAACAAAUUAGUCUUCACCACAUUUGUAAAAGACAAAUAAUGCCAACACACAUAACAUUCACAUGAAUAUAAAACAAGUAUUCUACGAUCAACAGCCUGAGAUAAGAGGUGCCUAUGAGACCUUCAAAUAAUUUGGGAGUAACCUUUGAAGUCUGCUCUUGGCUGCUACCAAAACUUGCCUGGUUAGCUCAUCUAGUUAAAGCACAUCCUGCUUUCUCCUGUUGGCUGGAUUUCAGAGGCUGUUUUGGCAGAAGCCAGAUCUGAAGCACUCCUGGUUGCAUCAGGCCUUAAGAAACACCUGAAAUCCUGAGAUAACUGCAGGCUUUAAAUAAUAGGGGAUGACUGGGCCUAGGCCUCUCAUUUAUAGAGACAAUUUUAUGCUGCUCUUCAAUCUGUAUUUGAUUUAUUUGUUAAUCUAACCUGGUAACACUCUCCUUGAUACUUAAUCUUUCUCAUGGCAGGGAGAAGCUGUGGGUGACAACCCAGGCUGCUUAACCUACUGGGCUUUGCAGAACUAGGGGAGAGGAAGGAAAGAUGUGCAGCUGAAAUAAUCAUCAGAUUCCUUAUCUGCCACACCUGGAGUUAGAUCACCUCACUGAGAAUCAAAUCACUGACAAUCCAUUAAGGAGCAGAUCAAAAUAGUCUGUCUCAUCUUCAGAAACAAACAAGGAUGCUUGUGAAGACAAAACAAAUCAGCAGUAUGAAGGAAGAACAAGAACAGAAGUAUGCCUUGUGCUCAGCUCCUGAAGAAAAACAGGCACUUCCACAGUGGAAUUUAUCUCCUUCCAAUGUACAGCGGGAGUGGGUCAAACGAAUCACAUGCUGGAAAUGCUGGUCAAAUGAAUCACGUGCUGGAAAUGUUUCUCUCCUGUGCGAUUCAGCCUCAGAUGUACAUCCAAGGAAAGUUGCUCUUUGCCAGCUCUAUUGUCAAUGGGUUCAGCCAGCCUACUAAAGACCUUAAAAAAUAGAAUGGUUUGGGUUGGAAGGGAACAUGAAGAUGCUCUAAUUGCAAAUCUCCGGCCAUGGGCAAGGACACCUUCCAUCAGGCUCUUCAAAACCCUAUCCAGCCAGGCCCUGAACACUUCCAGAGAUGGAUUUUUUUUCCCAUAAGUUUCCAAGAAGCCUUAAUGACUACUUAAUCAGAACAAAAGGGAGUACUUGAAGGACAUGGCAGCACAAGGCUACACCUAUUGUUUAUGAGUCCCUGGGAGUGUCCCUCAGAGGGGAGAGAUGAUGAGCUUUGGGAAAGGUAAAAAGACAGAUCUGGGGGAGGGGAGCUCACUCUUGCUCUCAGCAUUGAGGAGGACGCUCAAGCUGCCCCCCGUUGCAGGAAGAGUUCAUGGCCAUCACUCUGCCUCUGUCUCGUCCUGGGAAAUCUACCGUCAUCUGCUCCUGUACCCGGGAAUCCUGAGCUCGCUUUCUCCAGCCUCCCCCCACCGCUGCUGCUUCCUCGGAACUUUGAGGUUCCCCUGCUACUCUGUAGCCCUGCCCUGCCCAGCCCUGCCGGGACACCCCUGCUGCUCCAGCUGCCAGCGCAGAGCUCCUCAUCUCAUCCACCAGCCCGGGACUUUCCUCCCUUCCAGCUCGGCCUCUCGGAGCCCUGCAGGGGCACUGAGAUCAAACUGCCCCGGGCGUUUUUUGUGAAAGAAAGCCAUCAAGGUUCCUGGUUCUGUUUAUUAUUAAUGCUGUAGUUGUUGUUUGUUUGUUUUUUUGUCAUAUAUACUAGUAAAGAACUGUUAUUCCUAUCCCCAUACCUCUGUCUGAAAGCCCCUUUAAUUUUUUAAAUUAGGAUAAUUUGGAGGGAGGGGAUUUGAAUUCUCCAUCUCUAGGGAGGUCCUGCCCCCUUCCUAGCAGAUACCUGUCUUUCAAACCAAGACAGGUGGUUACAAUGCAAACGCAUCCACGGCAAUGAGAGUGCAUAGGAACAGGCCUGUGGGCUUUGGAAUCACUGCAUACACUGAAGACUUUCUGAUGUCCUUUCAUAUAGCAAAUCGGUGAAACUUAUCAAAUAGCUACAAGAGCUAAAUAAUCAGAAACACUUCUGCAUCCCUUAAGUGGAAGAGGCAAAUUCAACAGUAAAUAAUUUAAGAAUCUACAUGUUUCAACAACUGUAUGCAAGAAAAAAAGACUAAUGUUAACUUUACUUGAGGUGAGAAAUGAUGUUUGAUUUUUUUGCUGAUUACUGUGUUCUCACUACUUAAGACAUAUUUGUUAGAUAAAAAUAGAAUGGUUUUUCAUGUCCUGUUUUCUAAAAUAU